rnacentral:tRNA from 1 species
ACUUUUAAAGGAUAAAAGUCAUCCACUGGCUUUAGG